GGGAAAAAGAAGAGAUUAUACAUUGUGUUCUGUUUCCUACCUCCAAUGGAAGUCAAGGAAAGAUGAGUCCUCAUCACUUCUCCAAAACAAGCCAAGAAAGCUAAGGCAAGACAAGACAAGACAAGAAGAUGAAACAGCAACGAGUACCACUAGCGCUAAAUACAAAGACAAGAAGAAAAAUAGCCUCUGUCUUUAAGUAGCUUUGGAACUUUCAGUGUAUCAAUAUUUACCAGAUGAAAGAACAAAAUAUAAGAUUUGACAAAUCAGAAAUAAGCUGCAAAUAAAAUACCCCAAAUACCAUGACAGAGGCUGGCUCUUGGGAACUGUGUUUUAUGAUUAUGGUCAGAAGGAU